UUGCAUUUAGUUUAUUAGCAUCGUUAUUAGUGUCAAUUACACUCGUUCCAGCGUUGGCAGCUACACUAUUUAAAAAAGGCGUUAAACGUC
rnacentral:sRNA from 1 species